UGGGCGGCGCGGGGAGGCCGAGGACGGGGCGGGUCGAGGAGGAGCUCGCGGGUGGAGCGGUCCCUGCACGCGUGGCCCCCAUCCCGCUCAGUGCACCGCUGCUGCUGGUGAUGGACUCGCCUGGCUCCUGGCGCCCUCUGACAUGGCACCCUGGGGUACCCACACCUGGACCUGUCCUGCAUUAGGCUGGAGGUGACCCUACAAGGGAUCUGGCUGCUGCCCUCUGCAGACAGGGUAGUUGGUUUCUCCCUCACAAGUGGGAUGCUUCUGGCUCAUGGUGACACUGCUGCACACAGUGGGGACACUGUGCCACCGUAAUGGACAAAUGUGAGGUGUCUGUGGCAAAAUGGGGGCACUUCAUAUUAUGUUACAUGAAAUAGAUCAGACAGGCAGGUUUGUCGCAUGGUUUCUCUUUUAUGGAAAACCCAAAAUAUAUACAAAGUGCAAAGAAAAGAUGACAGGAAGUAGGGGAAUCUUUUUCAAAUGGGAGGGGGGACAGAGACAGAGGGAACGGGUCAGGGAGAAGCAUUAGGCUGCGUUCUGUCCCAGUGCAGGCGCCCCAGCAGGAACCCAGCCACCGUGUACCCCAAAGAUGGAUGCUAAUAGAUAAAUCAUAACAAAUGGUCGAUUCACGUGAAGACGUUGGCUGUGCUGCGCUUCUUCUGCGGUCGGAGGCACCGUGAUCUGGUCACCUUCCACACCUGUGAGACUUUGGGGGGGACCCUUAGCCCUAAGCCAGACACACAGGCGCAUGAGGCAGCUCUGUGGUUGCCUCCGUGUUCGGGGUGCCAUCCUGCUGAGCCGUGGUGGCUGUCCCUCCGCCUGGCCUGUAGCCUUCCUGGGAGGCAGACGACAGCCCGAUUCCAUCCACAUUCCUGUGGUCCUCGGGGUGUAGGGACCUCUCCACUCAGGAGGGCUUCUUUCUGGUUGGAGAAGAUGCCUCACGGAUCUGACGUCCAAGCCCAGGGAGUCGCCACGUCCAUCUCCAUGCCUGGCCCCAAGAUGCUGCCACUUGUAGCUGCUCCUCUCAAUGGCUCCUGUGGAAAAUCUCCACAGCCCACGCCUGCCCCACCCAGAGUGGCUGUGGGAAGAGCUGUGGACUCCCAGGACACCACCAUUUUCACCUUUGUUUGUUUUUGUUUUGAGAGGAUUUCACUUUGCAAUCCAGGGUACUCAUGAAUUCACUAUGGAGCCAGGGUGACUUUGAACUCACAGUGAUCCUCCUUGCCUCAGUUUCUGAGUCCUGGGAUUUCAAGUGUGUGCCACCCUGGUUCCUGUGGGCUUUUUGUGUCUGUUGGAGGCAAAACUGUGGAUUCGUCGUGGGCUCCUUUCUACCCUAAAUAUAACCAGACACCCAUGCUCAUCUUUUCCAGUCCCCAGCACUUCUCUGUGUCUGUCUUCUGUGUCCCUGCUGCCCUCAUGGUCUCCUGCUGUGUACCUGAACCCCUCAGCCUCAGGCAGCUGGUGGUGAGCCCAUUUCCUGAGCGUGGGGUCCCCGGUGUGGGGACAGGAGACCAUCCCACCAGACACAGAGGGAAAUACUACAACGGGAUUAAUACAGAUUUUUAAACUAAAAACAAGAAUGAAGUGCUUCUAAUUUUCAUUUAUUUUUGGUAUCAGGGAUUAAACUCACAAAAAACCAAUGUCUUUUUUUCUUCUUUGGUAUCAGAGAUUGAACUCACGACUUCGUGAUUGCCAGGCAGGCACUGUGAGCUGUAUCCCGGCCCUCUGAUGUUUAAUUUUGAAGCUCCAAGUGGUUGCAUGUGCUGUCGCAAUGGUACCCAGUGAUGCACAGCCUAGAUCAUCCCCAGGGCUGGAGUGGCCUCUCUGUAUCCCUUCAUUUUCCGAGUGUUUGGACACAGUCUGUGAGUAGAUGAAUUGGGUGUGUGGGCUGCAUGACCUGGUGUGAGCUAAAACUCAGAGAGCAAACAAGGGUUAGAAAGAUCCUCACCGAGAAAAUUUCCCCCAAGCACUCCAGAAGGGAGCAGGAGAGGCAUGGUUCCUACCCUGAUAGAGAUCCUUGGCCCAUUUCAAUUCCAGGUGAUCAGGCAGGGCAAGAACAAUUGGUCAUCACUGACACUUUCUGAGGAUGGAUGUCCACAUCAGGGGCUGAGGAUUUAGCUCAGUGUCACAAGCACCUACCUGGCAAGCAUGAGGUCAUGAGUUCAAUGCCUAGUAUACCCCCCCCCCCCCAAAAAAAGGUCCACGUCUGUCAUUGGUUAACUUCAUUCAGAGUGAAUGUUGAAACUUCACUGACAAACUAGGAACAUAGUCUAUAUGUAAAUAAACACUAAUCCUCCUGCCUCA